GUUUUGCAUAUGAAGUUCAGACCUUUGUUAGGCUUUGGCUGAUCUCUCCUGAGGGGCACAGUGUAAGAGUGUGAUUUACAGCUAGUGCUGCCCUACAGGGGGGAGGACUCAGACUUCAUGUACACAAGAAUGAGAUACUAAUUUCACCAGUCUGAUAGCACAAGGCAGACCCUCCAGAACGUUCUAAGAUAAGUGAAGAAAACAAAUGCCCGAUCCUAAACGCAAGCUAAGAAGGAAAAAGAGGAAGAAGAAGUCAAAGAACUUGACAUGGAGCUCCAGCAACGUCGAACCCAGGAACGUGGACCCUCAGAGUACUCAUGAUUUUCAGUCUCCCUUAGACAUCAUUCGCAGACAGAUGGAGGGCCAUCCCUACCAUCAUCUCUACCAGCGCCACCUUUACCCAGAGGAAUUGCUCCUUAUCCUCCAACUUGUUUACUUGGAAUGAAUGGUAAAUCUUCACCACCACUUCUACCUUUUUUUGAGGCCCUCCUUCUCCAGUAACAUUAUU